rnacentral:ncRNA from 1 species
CACUCUCGAAGAGUCGAGUGUUUGGGAAUGCAGCUCAAAAUGGGUGGUAAAUUCCAUCUAAAGCUAAUAUAGGCGAGAGACCGAUAGCGAACAAGUACCGUGAGGGAAAGAUGAAAAGCACUUUGGAAAGAGAGUUAAACAGUACGUGAAAUUGUUGAAAGGGAAACGCUUGAAGUCAGUCGCGUUAGUUGAGACUCAGCCUUGCUUUUGCUUGGUGCAUUUCUUAGCUGACGGGUCAACAUCAAUUUUGAUCAUUGGAAAAAAGACCUUGGGAAUGUGGCACCUUCGGGUGUGUUAUAGCCCUUGGUUGUAUGCAAUGGUUGGGAUUGAGGACCGCAGUGCGCCUUUAUGGUCGGGGUUCGCCCUCGUUCGCACUUAGGAUGUUGGCAUAAUGGCUUUAAGCGACCCGUCUUGAAACACGGACCAAGGAGUCUAACAUGCCUGCGAGUGUUUGGGUGGAAAACCCGAGCGCGUAAUGAAAGUGAAAGUUGAGACCUCUGUCAUGGAGGGCAUCGACGCCCGGACCUGAUGUUUACUGAAGGAUCUGCGGUUGAGCAUGUAUGUUGGGACCCGAAAGAUGGUGAACUAUGCCUGAAUAGGGCGAAGCCAGAGGAAACUCUGGUGGAGGCUCGUAGCGAUUCUGACGUGCAAAUCGAUCGUCAAAUUUGGGUAUAGGGGCGAAAGACUAAUCGAACCAUUGAAAAAGCUACUUUGGUGGUUAAGAGGCACUUGAAAAGGUAGCCUAGUAAGAGUUGAGGAUUGCGACACUAUCAAAUUGCGGGGACGUCCUAAAGCUUUCACGACCAAGCCUUGUUCUGAAAAGUCAAGGUGGCCAGGUUAAUAGCCUCGGGUAUGGUAAAACUGUGAAAGAUGUAACAAUGGAUAAUCCGCAGCCAAGCUCUAAGGACUUGAAAAGGUCUAUGAGUGCAGUUCACAGACUAGAUGGUAGUGGGUGUAGCAUGUAUGUGCUGUGCUUAAGAUAUAGUCGAUCCCGCUGCGAAAGCAGACUGGUGAAUAAAGGUAUUCAGCUCCUCAACAUAAGGCUGUUUACCCCGAGUCACUGGGGGGAGCGUGUCUCUCUGGGUG